UACGGAGGGUGCGAGCGUUAAUCGGAAUAACUGGGCGUAAAGGGCAUGCAGGCGGGGCCGCAAGCAGGGUGUGAAAUCCCCGGGCUCAACCCGGGGGCUGCACUCUGGACUGCGGCUCUGGAGUACCGCAGGGGGAGGCGGAAUUCCAGGUGUAGCGGUGGAAUGCGUAGAUAUCUGGAAGAACACCGAAGGCGAAGGCAGCCUCCUGGGCGGAUACUGACGCUCAGAUGCGAAAGCGCGGGGAGCAAACAGG
rnacentral:rRNA from 1 species